GAUGAACGCUGGCGGCGUGCCUAAUACAUGCAAGUCGAGCGAAUGGAUUAAGAGCUUGCUCUUAUGAAGUUAGCGGCGGACGGGUGAGUAACACGUGGGUAACCUGCCCAUAAGACUGGGAUAACUCCGGGAAACCGGGGCGAAUACCGGAUAACAUUUUGAACCGCAUGGUUCGAAAUUGAAAGGCGGCUUCGGCUGUCACUUAGUGAUGGACCCGGGUCGCAUUAGCUAGUUGGUGAGGUAACGGCUCACCAAGGCAACGAUGGGUAGCCGACCUGAGAGGGUGAUCGGCCACACUGGGACUGAGACACGGCCCAGACUCCUACGGGAGGCAGCAGUAGGGAAUCUUCCGCAAUGGACGAAAGUCUGACGGAGCAACGCCGCGUGAGUGAUGAAGGCUUUCGGGUCGUAAAACUCUGUUGUUAGGGAAGAACAAGUGCUAGUUGAAUAAGCUGACACCUUGACGGUACCUAACCAGAAAGCCACGGCUAACUACGUGCCAGCCGCCGCCGUAA
rnacentral:rRNA from 1 species